CAGUAAGCAUUGACUUUGCAUCUGAAAUCUGUUUUAGUUUUCUCUCUUUAGCUAUUUACCUGCUUCAUUGAAUCUGUGAGGCUGCCAGGGCCAGCUACAGCUGGGGUGGAGGCCUCUCCACCUUCUGAGCGGACGUGACCUAUUCCGAGGAGGCUUCUCUAUCAGCCUCAGACCCGAGUUUUUAGACCAGAACAGAGAAAUCACGAUUAGAAACCAGUCCACAAUACUGAUGUACCCUACAUGCUCCCACAAGACCCUGGAUGAAUAGAAGACAUGUCCAGAGCCCUCAAAAUGCAGUUUGCAGUUCUGAAAGCCAAAAAUUCAAUGCAGUUUCACUGGAUAAAAAUCAAGGUGUGGCUUGGCAGGGCUGCAUUUCCUGGAGAGGCUCAAGGACAAAAUCUGUUUCCAGUUCUGGUGGCUCCUGCUCAUUGGAAUUUCUGCAUCGCUGUCCUCUCUGCCUCAGUCUCCACAAGGCUUUUCCUUCAGCCUCUUACCUCUAAGGAUCUGUGAAUGAAUUUGGGACUCACUUGGCUAAUCCAGCAUAAUCUCCCUAUGUCACAGUCUUUAACUUACU
rnacentral:lncRNA from 1 species